AGAAGAUGGAAUCGAAGUAAAGAUCCAUUCUCGUCGCUAUUUGAAUAUUUCUUUUCAAUUUCACAACCUGUGUGUGAUGUAGGUUAAAAGAUGAAAAGAUAACAAAAGGAGACUGCGGAGAGAUAAAAGAUCGAUGAAGUUCUUAAUGGAGGCAGAUUAGCGGAUUGAAAGAUCUCUGCCUCGAGAUAUAUUCUCUCGCGAGGAACAAUUCCUUGGCGCUUCUUUAUCGAGUUCUCGAUAGUCUAAUUCGUCGUCGAAUGGUUCAAAGGGACAGUUCUCUUUCAAGUUUCUUCUUCUGGGCGGUAAGGUUUAAGGAUUAGAAUGGACUUUUCAGAGAAAUUGGAUUGCAACUCUUUUUCUAAUCACACGAGUAUCGAUAAUUAGAUUUAAAGAUUUAAAAUAUACGAAGAUAAGUAAUUCGAAAAUUUGUAAACUUUUAGUUCUCUUCAAAAUGCCCGAAAAUAAAUUCGUUGCGAAACGAUUCACAGGAGCAGAAUUUCUUCGGAAAUUUAAGGAUCGUUCAAUGGACUUUUUGGAGAAUAUUGGAAUUGUCGUUCCUAUUGUAACUUCAACGCUAAAAUUGGAAUUCACGAUGAUCUUUUUCCCGUGAUUUCCCAACGAAGAAAGAGCGACGGAUUUCUUUUGAAACGAAGGGAAAGAAAGGAUGUCACUGAAAAUGUAGAACAACCGGGUUGACGGGUUGCGUGCGAGCAAUCUGCGUGUUGGCUCGAUCUGGGUCACAGAAAUCGCUGGAAACGUAAUUUCAGGAUACGCGUUCGACGCCCUUUUCUUCGCCGCCUUCCGUGACCCGCUUUCCCCGCUUGAUCGCUCUUCAGACAACCUUGGGGAUGCUUCGAAUACGUCUCUUCGUUGUUACAUAACUUUUAAAAAAUUGUCUUCUCUCCAUUCGAUAGAUCGAUUUUCGUUCGAAAUUAUGCAAAUAUGAAUCGUAAAAUUUUAAUAAAAUUUCACGG